rfam:Zea mays cultivar B73 chromosome 3, whole genome shotgun sequence.
ACUCUCGUAUUCACUUUAAUCCACAUGUAUUGAGGUGGAUUGGAGUGGAUUUUAAACUAAUUUACACUCCAAUCCACUUCAAUACAUGUGGAUUGAGGUGAAUAAGAGA